AGGAAUAUUGGUCAAUGGGCGAGAGCCUGAACCAGCCAAGUAGCGUGAAGGAUGACUGCCCUAUGGGUUGUAAACUUCUUUUAUAAAGGAAUAAAGUCGGGUAUGGAUACCCGUUUGCAUGUACUUUAUGAAUAAGGAUCGGCUAACUCCGUGCCAGCAGCCGCGGUAAUACGGAGGAUCCGAGCGUUAUCCGGAUUUAUUGGGUUUAAAGGGAGCGUAGAUGGAUGUUUAAGUCAGUUGUGAAAGUUUGCGGCUCAACCGUAAAAUUGCAGUUGAUACUGGAUAUCUUGAGUGCAGUUGAGGCAGGCGGAAUUCGUGGUGUAGCGGUGAAAUGCUUAGAUAUCACGAAGAACUCCGAUUGCGAAGGCAGCCUGCUAAGCUGCAACUGACAUUGAGGCUCGAAAGUGUGGGUAUCAAACAGGAUUAGAUACCCUGGUAGUCCACACGGUAAACGAUGAAUACUCGCUGUUUGCGAUAUACAGCAAGCGGCCAAGCGAAAGCGUUAAGUAUUCCACCUGGGGAGUACGCCGGCAACGGUGAAACUCAAAGGAAUUGACGGGGGCCCGCACAAGCGGAGGAACAUGUGGUUUAAUUCGAUGAUACGCGAGGAACCUUACCCGGGCUUAAAUUGCAGAUGAAUUACGGUGAAAGCCGUAAGCCGCAAGGCAUCUGUGAAGGUGCUGCAUGGUUGUCGUCAGCUCGUGCCGUGAGGUGUCGGCUUAAGUGCCAUAACGAGCGCAACCCUUGUUGUCAGUUACUAACAGGUUCUGCUGAGGACUCUGACAAGACUGCCAUCGUAAGAUGUGAGGAAGGUGGGGAUGACGUCAAAUCAGCACGGCCCUUACGUCCGGGGCUACACACGUGUUACAAUGGGGGGUACAGAGGGCCGCUAUCACGCGAGUGGAUGCCAAUCCCAAAAACCUCUCUCAGUUCGGACUGGAGUCUGCAACCCGACUCCACGAAGCUGGAUUCGCUAGUAAUCGCGCAUCAGCCACGGCGCGGUGAAUACGUUCCCG
rnacentral:rRNA from 1 species